GUAGAAUAACUGUUGUUGGAUAUUCAUAUCUUUAGAAGCUAGAAUUGACAGUACAGAUAAUUCAUGUUUAUUGUCAAAACUAUAUUGAGAAAUGUCUUAGCCAAUUAUUCUGGUUAGACGAACAUUUGUUAGAACUUAAUAGGUUUGAGAAGAUAAGAGAAGAGAAUUUAAUUAUUAUUGAUAGAUCAAUGCCAGUUGUUUCGGCUAGAUCGAAAAUAAAAACUUGAUAGGUUUGAAAAGAGAAGAGAAGAGAAGCAAAUAGAAUUUGAAAUCACAGUAUUUCGUUGUUAAAUCAAACUCUUGAUUCUAAGACUGAGAAGAACAACCUUUUAUAUAAAGAAAACAUUUUGUUGGUCGUGAAUUCGACCUUUGCGCGCGUUUUAAGUAUUAUGCAUAAUAUAGGGUACAAGGAGUUGACCGACUCUGAGUGCUUGCAUAGGGGUAUGAUUUAAUCUUUAUGGUUAUCUGAUACACCUGAAUAUAUAUCAAAGUAAAUCUUUGAUAAAUACCCGAGAAGCCUGAAUAAAUAUCAAAAUAAAUCUUUGAUAGAUACCCGAGAAGAUAAGUUCAAGAUCUUGUGUGAUCGCUCAGUAUAAAUCUGGAAAACAUUCCACUUUGUUACUUCGUAGAAUUGAUUCUUGAUUAUUCAUUAGAAUAUCGUAGAAACUUUAAAAGCGUUGUACUCUUUCAUUAUUGAAUUAUUGUGUUGUAUAGAAUACGAGAAGAAUUGUUAUUGAAUAACGAUUUGUUCAGCUAUUUCAAAGUUCCCCGAACUUUGGUUUCAUUCUAUCAAAAUAGAUAGUCUCUUGUUUUUGAAUUCUUAUAUAUUUAUUGUAUGUCUUAACUUGCGGGGCAAAUUAGUUGCUCACCCUUGCUAAAUAAAACUUUUCAGCUAGGGACGAAGUUGCAGGAGGUGCUGCGAAAGAUAAAGGCAAAGGCAUAGUUAUUAAUUAAUUAUGAUUAACAUAUUUAUUAUGUUGUAUUGUAAACCCUUUUUGUAUAUCUAAAGGGUAUGUUUGUAAUGUUAAGGUUAGAGAACCUGAAAAAUGUAUUAUCAAACUCUGAUAAAGUCUUAUGUAUGUUACUCUCUAUAUAUUAUGGGUAGUUAAAUGUUAUUUAUAUUGUGGAUCGUGAGCACCAAACUCGGGGGUCAGGUAACCCGAAUUUGGGGGUGUCACAGGUUGGUAUCAGAGCUGUAGUGACCAAGGUGUCACCAGCUGGUAGUAGAGCUGUAGGUUAUAAACCUUAAGUGGGGUGGGGAAAACCCUAGGAUUAUAACCAAAAGCGAAAUAGAGAAUACUCAUUUAGAGUACUAAGUAAGGGAUUGUUGAAGCACAUUGAUAGUGAGAUAUGUGGGCACAUGGUGUGAGAAGUUUGUACUAUUAAAGUAUUAAACAAGUUGUCUACAUUGAUUGUAGGAUGUCCGGAGAAGACGAGAUGAGUAUGGAGAUGCCAGCGGCUGUUGCACCAGUGCUAGUAACAUAGGUGCCAGCACAGAGCGAAUCAGUGGAAGAAGUGGGAAAAGAUGAACCCAUGGUGAAUCUGGGGAGUGAUCAUGACGAUUAUCCCGAAAUGUAUCUGAGUGGUGAUGAGGAGGCAGAGUCUGAAGAAGCUAAGGUGGAGUUAAAGAAUAAGAUCAAAGUUGGAGAGAAAGAUCAAGAAUCUGUAGAAGUUCAAGAACUCCGGAGUAAAAUAUUUCUCUUGGAGGAGUUGUGGAAGACUGAGCGAGCAUUACGCGAAAUGACUGAAGAAUGGAACGAGCUGAAGGCGCAGGUGGACAGAAUAAAGACAGAAGGUGGUGGAUCAUCUGAAGGAGCCAACAAGAAAGGAAAGAAGAAGAGAAAGAGGAAAAAUGAUAGCGACAAUUUGGAAAAUUCAAACCCGAAGAAGAAGCAAGUCUGUGGCAAGUGUGGAAAGACUCACUUGGGAGAAUGCAUGAUGUGGAAGAAUGUGUGCUUCAACUGUAAGCAGGAAGGACAUAUUUCCCUACAUUGUCCUAAGCCAAAUAUAAGAAAGUGUUUCUCAUGUGGGAGAACGGGUCACGGAUUCAACAAGUGUCCCAGUAAGAAGAAGACUGGUGAAAAGAGUGGACAGUAGAUAGCUUAAGUUUGAGCGUUUGUAUCCUUUGGUAGAAGUUGUAAUAUCGAGAACUAUGUUUAAACAUAUGUAAAUAUAUGUUUAAAUGAAUAAAAUUUUUAUUUUCUAUAUGAAUAUAAGAUUAAUAUUAAUUGGUGAGUUCUUAAAACUCAUAUUUAUGGUAAGUUCAUGACUCAUGAUUAUAUGAGUUGUUUUGAACCCCUCAGCGAAUGGACGCCAAAAGUCUGACUAGGAUAAGUUUAUAUACUCAUAUAAUUGUGGUAAGUUUCUGAACUCAUAAGUAUGGUAAGUUUGAUGAACUGGGGAAUACCUAUGUGUGAAUGGAGAAUUACGACUUUUUGUUUAAAUCGGAGAAUUGCAACUUUUUGUAUAAAGUUGGAGAAUUGCAACUUUUUGUGUAAAGUUGUGUUGUUAACCCUAUAAUUUUUAAAAAAAGGGAUAGUAAUAUGUGUUAAAGUACUAUAUGUACUACGUGCUAUUUGAAUAAAUAUGCGAUUACAUGAGAAAUAUGUGUUGAAUUCUUAUUGUUUUAAGAAUUUGUGUAGAAUAGGAGAAUUAAUGUAAGAAUUUUAUUUAAAUCAGAUCAUGCCGCCUAGAAGACAGAAUCGAAACCAAAGAGAAGAGCAGUCAGUGAAUAAUGAGGGAGGUCAAGCUGACCCGAUGCAGAACUUUGUGGAUAUGCUAGCCCAAGCUAAGGAGAAUAGAGCUCCAGCUGCAAGAGGAAGAGCGAGAAAUCAACCAGCUGAUAGGUUGGCCAAUUUUAAAGACUUUAAAGCGGUAGGACCACCUGAAUUCAAGGGGACUACAGAUCCGAUUGAAGCCCAAACUUGGGUAAAGGAGAUGGAGAAAACAUUCGUUAUUGCGCGUGUGGCGGAAGGGCAAAAGACAGCGUUUGCGACAUAUUUGAUGAAGGAAGAAGCCAAUUUCUAGUGGGAAACUAAUCAAACAAGAGCUGGUAUAGCUGUGGUUACUUGGACAAGAUUUAAGGAGUUAUUCUUUGAGAACUACUUCUCGCCGAGUAUGCAAGCUCGGAUGGAAGUUAAGUUUCUAGAACUUAAACAGGAGAACAUGUCAGUUUCUGAAUACGCGGCUAAAUUCAACGAAUUAGCAAGAUUUGCACCUCAUCAGGUGGACACAGAAGCUAGAAAAGCGAGAAGAUUUGAGAAUGGAUUGAAGCCAAGGAUUUACAACAAAGUAGUUGUGUUGCAAAUCAAUACGUUCGCGGCUUUACUGGAAAAAGCCUUGAUUGCUGAAGGAGGGAGCGAAGCUACAUCUCGAUUUCAUCAAGAGAAGAAGAAGAAAGUAAGUGAUGCUGGAAGCAGUGGUGGAAGCAACCCAAACAAAAGAAAGUGGAGUGAGAAUACCCAAUCGGGUAUCAAGAUAGAAGGGUAUAAGAAAGGAGGAGAGCCUUGUGCGAAUUGUGGGAAGAAUCAUCCAGGAGUAUGUCUGAAAAAGAAGGGAGUCUGCUAUAACUGCGGGCAAGAGGGGCACAUGUCACCCAAUUGUCCCAGCCCGAAGAAGAUUCAAGGUUGCUUUACGUGCGGAUCGACUGAUCAUCUGGUUCGGAACUGUCCGAAGAAGAAUGCGGAGAAGGAAAGUGGCAACAAGGGACCCAGUAGCGGGACCUUGGGGAUUCGAGGACCUGCACAGCCAGGGAGACCAACAGCCCGCACAUUUAACAUGACGGCGCUAGAUGCAGUGGCUACUCAGGAGGUGGUAGCAGGUAACGAUUUCGCUUAAUAUUUAAUUACACGAGUAAUUCUAGUUAUAUAUGGCUGUGAAUUGUUUUCUUUUAUAGAUUCAAGUCACAGGUUAGAAUUUGAGACACAAAUUAAAACUGUAUGGAUAAAAAUGAAUUGAUGCUACAACAUUAAAAGAUUGUAGAGAAUAAGAAAGCGGUGAUUCCGAGAACGGAAUCCUUUUAAAGAGGGGUGAAUGUGAUAACCCGAGAUUUUUAUUAAUCCAAAAUUUGCGAAUAAUUUUUUUUUAUAUUUAAUAUUGACAUUGAAUGUUAAUAUUGUAUUGUGUAUCUGUGAUAUGAGUAUUGAGAAUUAGUCAAUUUGUGUAAUGACUGAGAAAUUAGAGUAGAGUUGUGCUUAACAGCUUUAGAAACCCUAACCCUAAGUCCGGAUAGGGAUUCGGUAGAAAUUGCAAAUUUUAAUAAGAGAAGCUAAGGUAACCUAAUUAGAAAUUAGGAAUGAAGAAUUAAAUAACCUAAGGGUUAUGAUACAGGAGAAUAUUAGUAUAUAAGAUAUAUACUAAUUCUAAGAGAUUUAUUUUAUAUAUCUCGAUUAAUUAAUUUUAUAACCUAAUUAUAACAAGUCUAAUUGGGUUAAGGAAAUAAAUGUGCAUGAGUAAGAAUUUGUGUUAUAAUUGAGGAAAUAAAAAUCCUAAUUAAAUGAUUUGGGUUGAAUAAGAAUUAAAGGUAUUGGACUAUGUAUAUUUUAUAGCCCAAGUGUUGGCCAAUGAAAUUGGUUAGAGGCCCAAGCAAUACAUUAAUUGAGUGGCCCAACUUUUAGCCCAAUUGAGAAGGGGUAGUAUAGACCUUAUGUAUGCUAAAUAAGAGGUAAAAAGAAAGCAAAAUGAGAGCAUUCUAAGGCCACAUGGCCGGUUGCUAGAGAAGGAAAUAAGAGGGGAAGAAUUUAAUGAUUACCUACUUUAGUUGGUGAACAACUCUUCACCCACUAGCCAUGUGUCAUCUUUUUAUUUUUGCCAACAUGUUUGUUUAUUCUUGCAAGCAACCACUUGGCAAUUGAUUAAGGGAAAGAAGAAGAGUUGGAGAUAAUCAUUAGAUUUACAAAAUCUAACAACAUAUUUUACUAACAAACAAACCCAUUCUCUUUCUCUUUCAUCUUACUUCCAAGUUAGCAAGAACAAAAGAAAAAGGGAGAGGGAGAGAGAGAGGAAUUUCGGCAGCCCUAGGGUGAGAAGAGAGGAGAUUUUGGUUUUCAUACAAUCAAGAUCCAUCUCAUAAUUUAGAAGGAGAAGAAGGAAAAGCUAAGGUAUAGCAAAAAUUUCUACUUAUGUAGUCUAAUUUUCUUUGUGGUUUGAUUUGAUUUUUGUCAAUAUGAAGUUAUGAUCUUGAGGUUUAAAACCUUAGAUCUAUGUGUUUAUGAGUGUUUCAUGUGUAGAAUUACCCAUAUUGGGUGUUGAUUUGGUUGGAAUCAAAGGAAUAGAAAAAUAGAAUUUUUCCGGAAAGUUAAACUUUUAAAGUGUGAUCUAACUUUUGAUAUUUUUGAAAUCUAUGAUGGAUAUUUGUGAUUUAUGUUCUUGGGAUGCUAGGUCUAUGUAUUAAUGAUAAAAUCCCUUUGGAAUCACUCAAUUAGGUUGAAUAUUGAGCAAGUUAUAAAAUUUAUUCCAAACUACUCCAAGCUAGAAAAAACUGUUAACAUAACAGUUUAUAACAGCCACUUCCGGGAUAAUUUCCGGGAGCUUAACAUAUCCAAAUAUGGAUUGUGAUAGAUGAAAACUGUAGAUCGGAAAGAUACGAAUCCAACAAAAUUGACAGAUCGUUAAUCGGAGUUAUAGAUUUCAUUUUAUUUAAGUUUUGGUAAAGGACUCCAAAACUGCCAAAGUACAAAAGGAAGCUGCCCAAAAUUUUAUAGGGGCUGUUUCAGUAGUUUAAAUUGCGGAAUAGAUUCCGGGCUUUUGGGACAUGAAAAUAUAAGGUAUUAAGUACCUUGUGUCCAAAAAUGAGCCCAUUCCGACUUAAAACGACCAAGUUAUGACCAUUUUAAUUUUUGUGAUUUUCGGACGGAAAUCGCUAUAACCGGAGUUCUACAACUCCGAUUGCCACGAAAUUUAAACUGGAGGCUCACGUUAACACGUAUAAGAUCGUGUCAAAAGAUGGGAAAUUCUGGAGUUAAGCACGAGGUAGCUAAUUUCUUAAGCUACGCACUAAAAUUGAUUUUUUGAAAAAUACCAAAGGAAGUUGGAAAAUUAUGAAAAAUAAUUUUUGUGUAUAAAAUAUAUGUAUAUGUGUUUGGACAAAGGAUAAAAAAAUAAUAAACUGUUUUGGUAUUUUCGUGAAAAGGAUAUGGAAUCCAGCUUGCUGGAUUAUGUAAUUUGUGAUUCCAGUUUGCUGGAUUGAAAAACAGUUUACUAAAUUGAAAAUUUGUUGAAUCCAGUUUGCUGGAUUGCAAUUUGGUUUGUGGAUUUGGAAUCCAGGUUGCUAGAUUUGGAAUUCAGGUUGCUGGAUUUGGAAUCCAGGUUGCUGAAUUGGCAAUUUAGUUGCUAGACAUAGAAUCCAGGUUGCUGGAUUCGUAUUUAACUUAUUAUUAGAUGUUAAAGAUUAACUUAUGAAAUGAAAAGGUAAGUGUUAAAUCAUAAUGUAUAUGAUAUAGUGAUUAAAGAAUUAUCAAAAGAUGAUAAUAAUGCUAAAGAUAUUUGACUUAUCUAAUAUUGAAGCUUAGAAGCCGAAUUUAAUUGACAAUAACUGUGUUAAUUGUCGGAUAGGGUGACCAGAACACCGAGAAUGGACCGAAGUCCAACCAGACUGAACUAGUUUGACUUGUUAAGUGUUUAUAUAGGUUAUAAACAUUGAUGUGGUUAUGUGGUAAUGUGUUUAUGAAAAGUAUGACUGUAGAUUACAGUGUUGUGUGUUUUUAUAUUGUUGUUCUAAUUGUGAGACCGAUAUCAUUGGUUAUAGGUCUUUCAAAAGCAGAUAAGUAUUUUGUGUAGCUGUAAUCAGCAGAAGAGGCAAGUUCCCUAACUCAACCUUGAGUUAUAUUCAUUCAAUUGUUAUGGUGGUUAAUUAUUGUUGAUUAAGCCACGUCUAGGGAUUUAUUGUUGAUAUUUUGCAGUUAGUGCAUGUUUAAUGAUUCAAUUUGAAUUACUGAUUCAGAAUAUAUACAUUCGUAGAAUAACUGUUGUUGGAUAUUCAUAUCUGUAGAAGUUAGAAUUGACAGUACAGAUAAUUCAUGUUUAUUGUCAAAACUAUAUUGAGAAAUGUCUUAGCCAAUUAUUCUGGUUAGACGAACAUUUGUUAGAACUUAAUAGGUUUGAGAAGAUAAGAGAAGAGAAUUUAAUUAUUAUUGAUAGAUCAAUGCCAGUUGUUUCGGCUAGAUCGAAAAUGAAAACUUGAUAGGUUUGAAAAGAGAAGAGAAGAGAAGCAAAUAGAAUUUGAAAUCACAGUAUUUUGUUGUUAAAUCAAACUCUUGAUUCUAAGACUAAGAAGAACAACCUUUUAUAUAAAGGGAACAUUUUGUUGGUCGUGAAUUCGACCUUUGCGCGCGUUUUGAGUAUUAUGCAUAAUAUAGGGUACAAGGAGUUGACCGAAUCUGAGUGCUUGCAUAGGGGUAUGAUUUAAUCUUUAUGGUUAUCUAAUACACCUGAGUAUAUAUCAAAGUAAAUCUUUGAUAGAUACCCGAGAAGCCUGAGUAUAUAUCAAAAUAAAUCUUUGAUAGAUACCCGAGAAGUCUGAGUAUAUAUCAAAGUAAAUCUUUGAUAGAUACCCGAGAAGAUAAGUUCAAGAUCUUGUGUGAUCGCUCAGUAUAAAUCUGGAAAACAUUCCACUUUGUUACUUCGUAGAAUUGAUUCUUGAUUAUUCAUUAGAAUAUCGUAGAAACUUUAAAAGCGUUGUACUCUUUCAUUAUUGAAUUAUUGUGUUGUAUAGAAUACGAGAAGAAUUGUUAUUGAAUAACGAUUUGUUCAGCUAUUUCAAAGUUCCCCGAACUUUGGUUUCAUUCUAUCAAAAUAGAUAGUCUCUUGUUUUUGAAUUCUUAUAUAUUUAUUGUAUGUCUUAACUUGCGGGGCAAAUUAGUUGCUCACCCUUGCUAAAUAAAACUUUUCAGCUAGGGACGAAGUUGCAGGAGGUGCUGCGAAAGAUAAAGGCAAAGGCAUAGUUAUUAAUUAAUUAUGAUUAACAUAUUUAUUAUGUUGUAUUGUAAACCCUUUUUGUAUAUCUAAAGGGUAUGUUUGUAAUGUUAAGGUUAGAGAACCUGAAAAAUGUAUUAUCAAACUCUGAUAAAGUCUUAUGUAUGUUACUCUCUAUAUAUUAUGGGUAGUUAAAUGUUAUUUAUAUUGUGGAUCGUGAGCACCAAACUCGGGGGUCAGGUAACUCAAAUUUG
rnacentral:lncRNA from 1 species